GACGAAGUGGCUGGAGCAGGCGGGAGAGACUGCGAAGCCCUGGCUCCCAGGAUGGAGAUCAUAGAAAUGAAUGACAAGUUAAGAAGAAACAGGCAAGAAAUUGUGAAUGGAUUGAACAUUUUUGGAAGAAAAUGUUCUAAUAUUUGCCAGUAAAAUGUGUUAGUGACUUUGGAAAUGACAAAAACCUUACUUAACAAGAAUGUUGAGUUUAUGGUGUACAUGGACAAAAAGGAGGAAGAAACAGAAACUAUAAGGGAAGAUGAUAGUUCAAAAGAAGCACAUGAUCUGUCAGUGAAAUAUAUAAAUUUCUUUUAAAUUUAUAACUUUUAUUCAAACAUAAGGCAUAUAUAUUCUAUAUUUAAGAAUCAAUAAUACAGUAUAAUGUAAGACUGUGGGCUUUGGAGUUGGACAGCUUCAGGAUUGAAUUCCAGCUCUAUCCAUUACUAGCUAUGUUACUAUAGACUGUUUUACUUCUUUGUGCUUCCUCAGUGUUUAUGGGGGUAAUAUUUACUUUGCAGAGUUUUGUAAAGACUGAGAGGAAAUGUAAAGCAACUAGUACAAUGCCUAGGACAUAGUAGAUACUCGGCGAAUAUUAGUUCACAUCCCUUGUUGCUUUUCACCUGUUUCUUAAGGGAAUUGUACAGUUAAAUAACAAGGCAUUUCUUAAAUGCUUGGUCUGUCACUGUGCACCUAA